UGUGCUGUGAUUUGGAAUUCUAAGAAAAGCAAUACUAAGCAAAUAAAACGCGCCAAGACCUAAACUCUCUUAAUUUUGACGGAGUUUUGAUGCCGUGAACCAAUUUAUUGGAGAAGAUGUAGCUCAUUGAAAAGGUUAAUCGUAGUGCCUUUUCCGUGUUUGCCCGAGCAUCCACUUCCUGAUUCAGGACGUCUAAAUCACACUUCUUUUGAUUUCUCAGAGUUUAAUUUAAAGCCUCAAUUCUGGUAGAACUCGAACAGAUGUAGUCCAUAUGUCCCCCUGUUGAAGGUUAGGCUAAGAAUUUUGUUUUGAUGGCAGUGCCUUAUCUCGCCUAACCUUGCUAAGCAUUUCUUGCAGAUACUGAUUUUAUGGUUAGAAAUCUUUACAAUCCGAGCUGGAUUCUGAUGCGGUGGCUUCGUAAAACUUAAGACCGGAAAUAACUAGCAUAACCAGAAUAUUGGUCAUCCGAGCAAUUGCGAAGAAAAUGCAGGCCUAAAAUUACUAUCGCAAACAAAUGAAAUGAAAUCUGCAAACAUUUUGCGUCAGGCAAUAAUUGGAAUUAUGGAACAAUUCAAAAACGAAAGGCUUGCUGAUGUUUUCCGAUGUCAACCUAGCGAACAAAAUGCAAGAUUAUAAAGUAAGAUGUUUGUAGGUUUGAAUUUAAAAGUUCUAAAGUUUUACAAGUUUUGAACCCUUACGACUUAAAUUUGCAAUGAUACAUCAAGUAAAGUUCAAGCCAGCACAGUAAUAUUGUUAGUUCCACUUGAAUAAACACAAUUGAUCCCCAGGGUAUCAUUUUUGUGCAAUCAUCUUCUUAUUAAAUUUCUUUGCUCUCUUUACUAAAUAAAUCACGAAAAGAAAUCUAUUUCCAAAAAAAAAAAAAAAAACAAACUACUUCAUAGAUAAAAGGGUUGUCAUUUAAAACGUUUUCGGAUGCGGAUACCUAGUUUCUUAAUCUUCGGACAUUAAAGGGGGUUGCUCUUUGCUUAUUAGAUAACAUCAAAAAGAAAUUUACUACACUCCACAAAAUCAUCCCAUCCAGCUUUCGAAAAAUCCUUUUUUAUUGUACAAAAUGCUCACCCCAGCUAACAUUCUUCUUUCAUCUAACUCGCACCUGCUCGAAAUCACUUAACCCCAGCCAAAAUGACAUCCCAUUUAAUGUUUCACUUUAUUGCCAUUCCUUCGCGCAAAAAUGUCAAGCAGACUUUUUCUUUCGGUUGGGCCUAUCCUUAGACAACAUAAAUUCCCGCCGGAGCAUUCACAUUUUGCAGGUUAUUUAUGGAGCCUGAUCCUUGUUAAGAAAAAAAAAAAAGAAAAAAUAUACUUUACAUUCCUAUAAAGAAACGAGUACAACCUAAAAAUACGAAGUGUUUCCAACUACAUAAUAUUUUUCACAACAUUAUGGAAAUCUGUUCGCCGUCUUGGCAGUGGAGUAGUUUAUCUUUCGAGGCCGAUGUGCCCCCAUUUCAUACUUGGCGAAGUGUACAUUUGUCAUACCGUUAUUUCGUUUUUUUUUCUCGCUGUCGAAAAACGAUUUUUGCAUGCAUUAUUAAGAAGGAAACAGCGUUCGCUGUUUUGCGGUUAUUUGCGAUGAUGCAUAUUAGAUGUGGCACAACGAUGUACGAGUAAGUUGAAUAUUCCGAAAGGAAUCCGAGUAGGAAGGAUGUCGAAAAUAGCACCCUAAUUUAUGGGAUUGACUUUUGGCUUUUUUUCUAUAUCAUGUAAUUUUUCCUGUGUCGUCUACGAUGUUGUGCCGAUGAGGAAGAGUAGAAACAAUGAAUAUCAAAUGGGACGACAUAAAACAAGUGUAAUGUACCCGCAUUUUUUCUUAGAUGGUGCGUUAAGGAGUAACGAUGGUUUUUAAGAGCUUUUUGCCAUUUUCCAAAAAAAAAAAUAAAAUAUGAAUAUACCUACUCACUUAUGUAAUGUAUACUUAAUAUCGCUUCUAAAAUAAGAUAAUUGAUAUUUAUGAUUUUUUGGAAUAUCGAAACAAUAAGUUGAUGGAAAUAUGGGCGAAGAAAAGAAACAGCCAAAUUUUGAUAUUGAAAUCAGGCAAUUGCAGGAUGUUUAUGAUUAUGCUUUUAAUUUGAAAGGAACCUGCUGUUAGGCAGAAUUAUUU